rnacentral:rRNA from 1 species
GACGUAGGGCGCGAGCGUGUCCGGAUUUAUUGGGCGUAAAGAGCUCGUAGGCGGCUUGUCGCGUCGAAUGUGAAAACUCGGGGCUCAACCCCGCGCUUGCAUUCGAUACGGGCAGGCUCGAGUUCGGUAGGGGAGACUGGAAUUCCUGGUGUAGCGGUGAAAUGCGCAGAUAUCAGGAGGAACACCGGUGGCGAAGGCGGGUCUCUGGGACGGUACUGACGCUGAGACGCGAAAGCGUGGGGAGCGAACAGG